rnacentral:rRNA from 1 species
GUGGGGAAUCUUAGACAAUGGGGGCAACCCUGAUCUAGCCAUGCCGCGUGAGUGAUGAAGGCCUUAGGGUCGUAAAGCUCUUUCGCUGGGGAAGAUAAUGACGGUACCCAGUAAAGAAACCCCGGCUAACUCCGUGCCAGCAGCCGCGGUAAUACGGAGGGGGUUAGCGUUGUUCGGAAUUACUGGGCGUAAAGCGCGCGUAGGCGGAUUGGAAAGUUGGGGGUGAAAUCCCGGGGCUCAACCCUGGAAUGGCCUUCAAAACUACCAGUCUUGAGGUCGAGAGAGGUGAGUGGAAUUCCGGGUGUAGAGGGGAAAUUCGUAGAUAUUCGGAGGAACACCAGGGGCGAAGGCGGCUCACUGGCUCGAUACUGACGCUGAGGCGCGACAGCGUGGGGAGCAAACAGGAUUAGAAACCCCAGUAGUCC